AACCAGGAGACAGGUGCUGCAUGGCUGUCGUCAGCUCGUGUCGUGAGAUGUUGGGUUAAGUCCCGCAACGAGCGCAACCCUUAUCUUUAAUUGCCAGCAUUCAGUUGGGCACUUUAAGAGACUGCCGGUGUUAAACCGGAGGAAGUGGGAUGACGUCAAGUCCUCAUGGCCUUUAUGUCCAGGGCUACACACGUGCUACAAUGGGCGAGACAGAGCGACGCGAAGCCGCGAGGUGGAGCAAAUCGCAGAAAAUCGUCCUCAGUUCGGAUUGGAGUCUGAAACCCGACUCCAUGAAGGUGGAAUCGCUAGUAAUCGCGCAUCAGCAUGGCGCGGUGAAUACGUUCCCGGGUUU
rnacentral:rRNA from 1 species